GUGCUCGUUUUGGCAGCACGUACACUAAAAUUGGAAUGAUACAGAGAAGAUUAGCAUGGCCCUGGGCAAGGAUGAUAUACAAAUUUGUGAAGCGUCCCAUAUUUUU
ensembl:snRNA U6 U6 spliceosomal RNA